rnacentral:rRNA from 1 species
AUGAAGGUUUGUGGAUUGUAAACCCCUUUUGAUUGGGAAGAAUAACUGACGGUACCAAUCGAAUAAGCCUCGGCUAACUCCGUGCCAGCAGCCGCGGUAAUACGGAGGAGGCAAGCGUUAUCCGGAAUUAUUGGGCGUAAAGCGUCCGUAGGUGGUUUAGUAAGUCUGCUGUCAAAGCGCGGGGCUUAACUCCGUAACGGCAGUGGAAACUACUAGACUAGAGUGUGGUAGGAGUAGAGGGAAUUCCCAGUGUAGCGGUGAAAUGCGUAGAUAUUGGGAAGAACACCGGUGGCGAAAGCGCCUUGCUGGGUCUGCACUGACACUGAGGGACGAAAGCUAGGGGAGCGAAAGGGAUUAGAUACCCCUGUA